GAUGAACGCUAGCGACAGGCUUAACACAUGCAAGUCGAGGGGCAGCGGGGGAGUAGCAAUACUCCCGCCGGCGACCGGCGCACGGGUGAGUAACACGUAUGAAACCUGCCCGUAGCAGGGGGAUAAGCGGAAGAAAUUCCGUCUAAUACCGCGUAACAACCCAUGGAGGCAUCUCCGUGGGUUUAAAGGAAGCGAUUCCGGCUACGGAUGGUCAUGCGUCGCAUUAGCUAGUUGGCGGGGUAACGGCCCACCAAGGCGACGAUGCGUAGGGGUUCUGAGAGGAAGGCCCCCCACACUGGUACUGAGACACGGACCAG
rnacentral:rRNA from 1 species